GGGUUGUGAGGUUAAGCGACUAAGCGUACACGGUGGAUGCCCUGGCAGUCAGAGGCGAUGAAGGACGUGCUAAUCUGCGAAAAGCGUCGGUAAGGUGAUAUGAACCGUUAUAACCGGCGAUGUCCGAAUGGGGAAACCCAGUGCAAUUCGUUGCACUAUCGUUAACUGAAUACAUAGGUUAACGAGGCGAACCGGGGGAACUGAAACAUCUAAGUACCCCGAGGAAAAGAAAUCAACCGAGAUUCCCCCAGUAGCGGCGAGCGAACGGGGAGCAGCCCAGAGUCUGAAUCAGCUUGUGUGUUAGUGGAACGGUCUGGAAAGUCCGACGGUACAGGGUGAUAGUCCCGUACACCAAAAUGCACAGGCUGUGAACUCGAAGAGUAGGGCGGGACACGUGGUAUCCUGUCUGAAUAUGGGGGGACCAUCCUCCAAGGCUAAAUACUCCUGACUGACCGAUAGUGAACCAGUACCGUGAGGGAAAGGCGAAAAGAACCCCGGCGAGGGGAGUGAAAAAGAACCUGAAACCGUGUACGUACAAGCAGUGGGAGCACCUUCGGGUGUGACUGCGUACCUUUUGUAUAAUGGGUCAGCGACUUAUAUUCUGUAGCAAGGUUAACCGUAUAGGGGAGCCGCAGGGAAACCGAGUCUUAACUGGGCGUUAAGUUGCAGGGUAUAGACCCGAAACCCGGUGAUCUAGCCAUGGGCAGGUUGAAGGUUGGGUAACACUAACUGGAGGACCGAACCGACUAAUGUUGAAAAAUUAGCGGAUGACUUGUGGCUGGGGGUGAAAGGCCAAUCAAACCGGGAGAUAGCUGGUUCUCCCCGAAAGCUAUUUAGGUAGCGCCUCGUGAAUUCAUCUUCGGGGGUAGAGCACUGUUUCGGCUAGGGGGUCAUCCCGACUUACCAACCCGAUGCAAACUACGAAUACCGAAGAAUGUUAUCACGGGAGACACACGGCGGGUGCUAACGUCCGUCGUGAAGAGGGAAACAACCCAGACCGCCAGCUAAGGUCCCAAAGUCAUGGUUAAGUGGGAAACGAUGUGGGAAGGCACAGACAGCCAGGAUGUUGGCUUAGAAGCAGCCAUCAUUUAAAGAAAGCGUAAUAGCUCACUGGUCGAGUCGGCCUGCGCGGAAGAUGUAACGGGGCUAAACCAUGCACCGAAGCUGCGGCAGCGACACUAUGUGUUGUUGGGUAGGGGAGCGUUCUGUAAGCCUGCGAAGGUGACCUGUGAGGGUUGCUGGAGGUAUCAGAAGUGCGAAUGCUGACAUAAGUAACGAUAAAGCGGGUGAAAAGCCCGCUCGCCGGAAGACCAAGGGUUCCUGUCCAACGUUAAUCGGGGCAGGGUGAGUCGACCCCUAAGGCGAGGCCGAAAGGCGUAGUCGAUGGGAAACAGGUUAAUAUUCCUGUACUUGGUGUUACUGCGAAGGGGGGACGGAGAAGGCUAUGUUAGCCGGGCGACGGUUGUCCCGGUUUAAGCAUGUAGGCUGAUUGUCCAGGCAAAUCCGGAUAAUCAAGGCUGAGGUGUGAUGACGAGGCACUACGGUGCUGAAGUAACAAAUGCCCUGCUUCCAGGAAAAGCCUCUAAGCAUCAGGUAACAUUAAAUCGUACCCCAAACCGACACAGGUGGUCAGGUAGAGAAUACCAAGGCGCUUGAGAGAACUCGGGUGAAGGAACUAGGCAAAAUGGUGCCGUAACUUCGGGAGAAGGCACGCUGGUGUGUAGGUGAAGCCCCUGCGGGUGGAGCUGAGACCAGUCGAAGAUACCAGCUGGCUGCAACUGUUUAUUAAAAACACAGCACUGUGCAAACACGAAAGUGGACGUAUACGGUGUGACGCCUGCCCGGUGCCGGAAGGUUAAUUGAUGGGGUUAUCCGUAAGGAGAAGCUCUUGAUCGAAGCCCCGGUAAACGGCGGCCGUAACUAUAACGGUCCUAAGGUAGCGAAAUUCCUUGUCGGGUAAGUUCCGACCUGCACGAAUGGCGUAAUGAUGGCCAGGCUGUCUCCACCCGAGACUCAGUGAAAUUGAACUCGCUGUGAAGAUGCAGUGUACCCGCGGCAAGACGGAAAGACCCCGUGAACCUUUACUAUAGCUUGACACUGAACAUUGAGCCUUGAUGUGUAGGAUAGGUGGGAGGCUUUGAAGCGUGGACGCCAGUCUGCGUGGAGCCAACCUUGAAAUACCACCCUUUAAUGUUUGAUGUUCUAACGUUGGCCCCUGACCGGGGUUGCGGACAGUGUCUGGUGGGUAGUUUGACUGGGGCGGUCUCCUCCCAAAGCGUAACGGAGGAGCACGAAGGUUAGCUAAUCCUGGUCGGACAUCAGGAGGUUAGUGCAAUGGCAUAAGCUAGCUUGACUGCGAGCGUGACGGCGCGAGCAGGUGCGAAAGCAGGUCAUAGUGAUCCGGUGGUUCUGAAUGGAAGGGCCAUCGCUCAACGGAUAAAAGGUACUCCGGGGAUAACAGGCUGAUACCGCCCAAGAGUUCAUAUCGACGGCGGUGUUUGGCACCUCGAUGUCGGCUCAUCACAUCCUGGGGCUGAAGUAGGUCCCAAGGGUAUGGCUGUUCGCCAUUUAAAGUGGUACGCGAGCUGGGUUUAGAACGUCGUGAGACAGUUCGGUCCCUAUCUGCCGUGGGCGCUGGAGAAUUGAGGGGGGCUGCUCCUAGUACGAGAGGACCGGAGUGGACGCAUCACUGGUGUUCGGGUUGUCAUGCCAAUGGCACUGCCCGGUAGCUAAAUGCGGAAGAGAUAAGUGCUGAAAGCAUCUAAGCACGAAACUUGCCCCGAGAUGAGUUCUCCCUGAGACUUUAAGUCUCCUGAAGGAACGUUGAAGACGACGACGUUGAUAGGCCGGGUGUGUAAGCGCAGCGAUGCGUUGAGCUAACCGGUACUAAUGAACCGUGAGGCUUAACCUUACAACGCCGAAG
rnacentral:rRNA from 1 species